AGAGUUUGAUCCUGGCUCAGAUUGAACGCUGGCGGCAUGCCUUACACAUGCAAGUCGAACGGCAGCACGGGAGCAAUCCUGGUGGCGAGUGGCGAACGGGUGAGUAAUACAUCGGAACGUGUCCUGUAGUGGGGGAUAGCCCGGCGAAAGCCGGAUUAAUACCGCAUACGCUCUACGGAGGAAAGGGGGGGAUCUUAGGACCUCUCGCUACAGGGGCGGCCGAUGGCAGAUUAGCUAGUUGGUGGGGUAAAGGCCUACCAAGGCGACGAUCUGUAGCUGGUCUGAGAGGACGACCAGCCACACUGGGACUGAGACACGGCCCAGACUCCUACGGGAGGCAGCAGUGGGGAAUUUUGGACAAUGGGCGCAAGCCUGAUCCAGCAAUGCCGCGUGUGUGAAGAAGGCCUUCGGGUUGUAAAGCACUUUUGUCCGGAAAGAAAUCCUUUGGGCUAAUACCCUGAGGGGAUGACGGUACCGGAAGAAUAAGCACCGGCUAACUACGUGCCAGCAGCCGCGGUAAUACGUAGGGUGCAAGCGUUAAUCGGAAUUACUGGGCGUAAAGCGUGCGCAGGCGGUCCGCUAAGACAGAUGUGAAAUCCCCGGGCUUAACCUGGGAACUGCAUUUGUGACUGGCGGGCUAGAGUAUGGCAGAGGGGGGUAGAAUUCCACGUAGCAGUGAAAUGCGUAGAGAUGUGGAGGAAUACCGAUGGCGAAGGCAGCCCCCUGGGCCAAUACUGACGCUCAUGCACGAAAGCGUGGGGAGCAAACAGGAUUAGAUACCCCCGUAGUCC
rnacentral:rRNA from 1 species